rnacentral:sRNA from 1 species
AUGAAUGGGGAUCUGAGGGAAACAAACAGACCUCAUCCUGCAUUCUUCCCACUCCCUUAGGUUCCCUACUCCUGCUGCCAUGUCGGUGAGUACUGGUGCUAUUGUCUAGGGCAAGAGCCUCAGGCCUUUGGAGUUACUCUUUGCUUUUCUCCACAGGAGCCCCGCAAGUGAGCCAGCCACUGCGAGAGCAGAGUGAGGAUAUACCUGGAGCCAUUUCCUCUGCCCUGGCAGCCAUAUGCACUGCUCCUGUGGGACUGCCCGACUGCUGGGAUGCCAAGGAGCAGGUCUGUUGGCAUUUGGCAAAUCAGCUAACUGAAGACAGCAGCCAGCUCAGGCCAUCCCUCAUCUCUGGCCUGCAGCAUCCCAUCCUGUGCCUGCACCUUCUCAAGGUUCUAUACUCCUGCUGCCUUGUCAGUGAGGGCCUGUGCCGUCUUCUGGGGCAGGAGCCCCUGGCCUUGGAAUCCCUGUUUAUGUUGAUUCAGGGCAAGGUAAAAGUAGUAGAUUGGGAAGAGUCUACUGAAGUGACACUCUACUUCCUCUCCCUUCUUGUCUUUCGGCUCCAAAACCUGCCUUGUGGAAUGGAGAAGCUAGG